rnacentral:rRNA from 1 species
GAUGAACGCUGGCGGUAUGCUUUACACAUGCAGGUCGUACGAGAGGUUUUAACUCUAGUGGCGGACGGGUGAGUAACACGUAAGAAUUUGCCUUUAGGAGGGGGACAACAACUGGAAACGGCUGCUAAUACCCCAUAUGCUUUCGAGUGAAAUGGAUUUUUCCGCCUAAAGAGAAGCUUGCGGCUGAUUAGCUUGUUGGUGAGGUAAUGGCUUACCAAGGCGACGAUCAGUAUCUGGUUUGAGAGGAUGACCAGCCACAUUGGGACUGAGACACGGCCCAAACUCCUACGGGAGGCAGCAGUGGGGAAUCUUGCGCAAUGGGCGAAAGCCUGACGCAGCCAUGCCGCGUGGAUGAUGAAGGUCUUAGGAUUGUAAAAUCCUUUCACCGGUGAAGAUAAUGACUGUAGCCGGAGAAGAAGCCCCGGCUAACUUCGUGCCAGCCGCCGCAGUAA